GGUAAAACAAAAAUUUAUCUUACUAAUUUAUUUAUUUAUUUAUUUAUUUUUUUGUGCCAACUCAUGAUCUAAAUGAGUCGCACACAUACUAUGGUACAUGUUCCUUGACGCUAAAGACAUCCCCGAAGAGUGGGGGAUUUCGUGACACUUCCAAUUGACUGUCUUGUAUUUCUAAUAAGUUGUUUAGUAGUUGGCACGUUGAAUCAUAUACAUAAUGGGCUGGUUUAGAUUGAUCAUAACCGGAUAAUUAUGAAUUAUUUCUAUUUAAUAGAAUAUUAAACUUGUAGAUAAAAUCUCAAAUCACGGAUUUUUAGAAAAUCCAUCUUAUUUUAAUUCAAUUGCUACAAGAUCAACAAUUCAAUAAGCUUGGGCUUCUAUUGCCGACAUAAAUACAUCUCUUUCUAUGUUUUCAGAUACAACCCAUAAGGGUUUGCCAAUUCUUUGUGCAUAAAUCCUUGUGAGGAUUUCGCGUAGUUUCAGCAGUUCUUCUGCGAUAAAUUCUCCCUUUUGUGCUUCAUAAAAAGAACUAGCAGGUUGAUGGAUAAUUACCCUGAUGAUAUAAUAGUUCUCUAUCUCGCGUGAUGAAACGAAGAGAAAAGAAAGAAAGAUAAAGAAUAAUAGGAAAAAUAUAGAAUUGAACAAUCGUACGAGCAUUAUCUUUUGUGCAUUGCAUAUGGCUCUACAAUAAAAUUGACCCUUACCUUUCAUUGAAGAAAGAGAAAAAUAAAAUCUAUCAGACCCAGAUAGAUAAAUGAUCAAAUUGCCACCCUUCCUUUUAGAGGAGUUAAAAAAUACUAUGAUGGCUCCGUUGCUUUCUAUUUUGAAAUUGAAUUUUUUUUUCAGCAAUCCCAAGGUUUCUUUUUGAUCAAAUCAAAUAAGGAAAAAUCUUGUUUUUUUUCGCCCUCUUUUUUCACAACAUAAAUAUUGUUAAGAGCCCUUCGAUAUGAAAACAAAAAAGUUUGUUGCGCUGAACUAGACUCCCGAUAGAUAAGAGAAAUCGGAAAUACCUUUCAUCUCAUACUACUCUCUCAAUACAUAAUCGACUCUUUUGGAAGGAGAAAAAAAAAGGACAAAAAAGACAAAAAUUUUGCAUAUCAAAUUCGAAGUGCCAUGCUACUAUUACUUAAUAUUCAUAUGGCGAAAACACAUUCUUCUUUUUUCUCUCAAAUUAAAAAA
rnacentral:lncRNA from 1 species